AUGGGAGGUCAUAGAUAUGGGAACAGGAGAGGAAAGUCGGCUCACAAAAGGGAGGCUGUGGAUGAAAACAAACCAGAGGAGGAUGGUUCAUCCUCCGACCUGGGGGCCAGACUGAGAAGCUGGAGAAAAGAAACAGUGUGUGCAUGCCUGCUGUCCCAACUGGAAAAAUUUUGAUAAAUACUUUUUUUCUGCCCUUUCAUUGUUUUCUUGUCUUUUUACAUCUCGUAGCAGUGAUUCUAGUUGGAUUUGGAUUGACUUGAGCUUUUGAUAAGAUACCCACCACUACUCCUACCUCCACUUUCCCCCCAAUCAAGGUUCCUGGGAAUUUUAGAAAUAGCUACAAAUUUGCAUCAUUGCUAGCCAGUUUCUCCAUUUCUAGGCAACUGGCUUCCCUUAGCU
rnacentral:lncRNA from 1 species